rnacentral:rRNA from 1 species
GGGGCUGCUCCUAGUACGAGAGGACCGGAGUGGACGCAUCACUGGUGUUCGGGUUGUCAUGCCAAUGGCACUGCCCGGUAGCUAAAUGCGGAAGAGAUAAGUGCUGAAAGCAUCUAAGCACGAAACUUGCCCCGAGAUGAGUUCUCCCUGACCCUUUAAGGGUCCUGAAGGAACGUUGAAGACGACGACGUUGAUAGGCCGGGUGUGUAAGCGCAGCGAUGCGUUGAGCUAACCGGUACUAAUGAACCGUGAGGCUUAACCUUACAACGCCGAAGGUGUUU